GACGAACGCUGGCGGCGUGCUUAACACAUGCAAGUCGAACGGAGUGGCGUACGGGUGAGUAACGCGUAAUCAACCUGCCCUUCAGAGGGGGACAACAGUUGGAAACGACUGCUAAUACCGCAUACUGAAGUAGGGGAUUGCGUCUGAUUAGUUAGUUGGAGUGGGAACGCCACACCAAGGGGAUGAUCAGUAGCCGUUCGGAGAGGAGGAACGGCGAGAGUUGUACUGAGACACGGCCCAGACUCCUACGGGAGGCAGCGGGGGGGAAUCUUCCGCAAUGGACGAAAGGCUGACGGAGCAACGCCGCGUGAGUGAUGACGGCCUUCGGGUUGUAAAGCUCUGUUAAUCGGGACGCGGUACCGGAAUAGAAAGCCACGGCUAACUACGUGCCAGCAGCCGCGGUAAUAC
rnacentral:rRNA from 1 species